CUUCAGCUCAGUGACUUGUGGCUGGAGCUCCCGUGAUUCCCACUCUCGGCUUUUGCACACAUGGGAGGACGCCUUUUCACCCCCCUCUGCCCGUGUAAACUCUGCACAUUCCUUCUCCUUGGCCCUGCCUAGCUACCUCUUCCUCCAGGAAGUCUUCCUUGAUUAGACCAGAGGACAGAGUCAAGUGACCAGCCAGCCCAGCCUUUGGCUGCUUGGGUCUGAUCCUCCUUGUAUGAAGCUAUGUCCCUCCCACCUCAGCCUCCUGUUGUCUCACCUCAGGCCCCUGUUGUCUAGGGGUGUCAGAGGUGGGGGGAGGCAGUUCCCAGCGUGACUCCUCACCGGCCUGCUAGGUCUGAAGCUCUCCCACGUGCCUGCGCUGCCCUGAUGCCCCUCGAGGCAGGGCGAAGUCCGGUGCCCUCACCCAAGUCUCACUUUUUGUGCUGCUUGGCCUCCUGCGGAUCUCUCCACCUGCUCUCUGGGCAGAAGGCGAAGGCUGCUCAGGCCCUGGCUCCAGGACCCAGAGGCCAAGCUCCCAGGUGAGUCAGGUGGCUGGAACCGGUGGAACUUGCUCUGGGAUGAAGAUGGAAAGCAUUUGGCUCCCCUUCAGAUCUGGUCCGCGGGCCUGGAGCCCCCAGCUUGGCUCUCCUCCCAGUUUUCAGACCGCAGCAGUCCACACAGUGGCCAAGAGCUGGGGCUUAAGAAUCAUGCAGACUCUAGUUGAAAGCCCAGCUCUUCUCCUCAUUGCUUGUGGGACCACCUGGGCUUCUGGAUGUUCUUUUCACUUGCCAGUAAAACUGCUUCUGUCAUGACUUCCCUGCGGGGUUACUGGGAGGAAGCUGAGAUAAUAUACGUGUUAUCACUGCACCUGAGACUCGCCAGAAGACCCCCUAAGCUCGGCUUACCAGUCACUUCUGGGAGGCUAGUCUUAACCCCGGGGCUAAGGGCUUCCUCUGGGCCACACCAGCAUCUCUGUACUCACUGCUCUGUGUUGCCUGUUUCC
ensembl:lncRNA